GGGCAUGUAGUCCAAUGGUAAGACGGCAGAACUGUCAUUCUGAAGAUUUAGUGUUCGAUUCCUGGCGUGCCCC